rnacentral:rRNA from 1 species
AAUCAAAUUAUUAAAGAAAUAAUUUUACAUUUAAAUCCUCCUUCAUAAUAUGGUUUAUUCAUAUUAAUUCGUAUAAAUAAAUUUAUUGUAACCCAUCUCUACUUAUCCAUAAAUUGCACCUUGACCUGACAUAAAAUAUUUUGUAUUGUGAGAAUAUUAAAUCUGAAAAUAUAAUCUGAUGACGGAGGUAUACAAAAUGAAUACAAGAAUAAGUACUUAUCUAUCGUGGAUUAUCAAUUACAGGACAGGUUCCUCUAAAAAGAAUAAAAUACCGCCAAAUUCUUUGGGUUUCAAGAACAUAACUAUUACUACCCUAAUCAUAAUU